rnacentral:lncRNA from 1 species
CAGGAACAUCAAAUUGACUUUGACUGUGAAGAAUAAAGCUUAAAUUUAAAUCUGAAUUCAUGUACCAUAGAGAAGGGUGAGGAAAUUUACUGGUUUGAAGAAAUCCAGAGGAUUACUUUGAAGCACUUACUACAGAUCCAGGUCUUCCGCUAGAUGUGGCCAUGAACAAGAGAAUGUUCUAGAGAGAACAG